rnacentral:rRNA from 1 species
UACGUAGGGUGCAAGCGUUGUCCGGAAUUAUUGGGCGUAAAGAGCUCGUAGGCGGUCUGUCGCGUCUGGUGUGAAAACUCAAGGCUUAACCUUGGGCCUGCAUCGGGUACGGGCAGACUAGAGUGCGGUAGGGGAGACUGGAAUUCCUGGUGUAGCGGUGAAAUGCGCAGAUAUCAGGAGGAACACCGGUGGCGAAGGCGGGUCUCUGGGCCUUACCUGACGCUCAGGCGCGAAAGCUAGGGGAGCAAACAGG